AAGUCGUAACAAGGUUUCCGUAGGUGAACCUGCGGAAGGAUCAUUAUUGAAUAAAUCUGGCGCUGGGUUGUAGCUGGCUCUCCGGAGCAUGUGCACACCUUCGUCACCUUUAUCUUUCCACCUGUGCACCCACUGUAGUCCUGGAUCCCUCUCGCCGAAAGGCGGAUGCAGAGCCUGCUGUGACUUUGGAAACAAAGGCCGGCUUGCUCUGAAUUUCCAGGUCUACGAUCUUUACACACCCCUAAACGAAUGUCAUAGAAUGUAUAUCACUGGGCCUUUGUGCCUAUAAACCUUAUACAACUUUCAACAACGGAUCUCUUGGCUCUC
rnacentral:misc_RNA from 1 species